rnacentral:rRNA from 1 species
AUUGAACGCUGGCGACAUGCCUUACACAUGCAAGUCGAACGGCAGCACGGGUGCUUGCACCUGGUGGCGAGUGGCGAACGGGUGAGUAAUACAUCGGAACAUGUCCUGUAGUGGGGGAUAGCCCGGCGAAAGCCGGAUUAAUACCGCAUACGAUCUACGGAUGAAAGCGGGGGACCUUCGGGCCUCGCGCUAUAGGGUUGGCCGAUGGCUGAUUAGCUAGUUGGUGGGGUAAAGGCCUACCAAGGCGACGAUCAGUAGCUGGUCUGAGAGGACGACCAGUCACACUGGGACUGAGACACGGCCCAGACUCCUACGGGAGGCAGCAGUGGGGAAUUUUGGACAAUGGGCGAAAGCCUGAUCCAGCAAUGCCGCGUGUGUGAAGAAGGCCUUCGGGUUGUAAAGCACUUUUGUCCGGAAAGAAAUCCUUGGCCCUAAGACGGUCGGGGGAGGACGGUACCGGAAGAAUAAGCACCGGCGAACUACGG